rnacentral:rRNA from 1 species
GACGAACGCUGGCGGCGUGCUUAACACAUGCAAGUCGAACGGAAAGGCCCUGCUUUUUUGGGGUGCUCGAGUGGCGAACGGGUGAGUAACACGUGAGUAACCUGCCCUUGACUUUGGAAUAACUUCAGGAAACUGGGGCUAAUACCGGAUAGGAGUUCCUGCUGCAUGGUGGGGGUUGGAAAGUUUCGGCGGUUGGGGAUGGACUCGCGGCUUAUCAGCUUGUUGGUGGGGUAGUGGCUUACCAAGGCUUUGACGGGUAGCCGGCCUGAGAGGGUGACCAGCCACAUUGGGAAUGAGAUACGGCCCAGGCUCCUACGGGAGGCAGGAGUGGGGAGUGUUGCACAAUGGGCGGAGGCCUGAUGCAGAAACGCCGCGUGCGGGAUGUCGGCUGUCGGGUUGUGAGCCGCUUUCGGCGGAGACGAAGCGUGAUGGACGGAAAUGGGGAAGAAGCACCGGCUAACUACGUG